GCUUACGACCACACCGGCCUGAGUACGCCUGAUCUCGUCUGAUCUCGGAAGCUAAGCAGGGUCGGGCCUGGUUAGUACUUGGAUGGGAGACUGCUGGGAAUACCAGGUGCUGUAAGCU
rnacentral:rRNA from 1 species